AUAAAAAUUUAGAAAGUAUUGCUGUCUGGUAGUUACAAGUGGUUCACUGUCAUUAAAGUUGGCAUGGGGAGCUUCUGUUUUGGAAGGAGUGGCAAGCCAUCGCGUCACCCAAUUUGGAUCCUGGCUUCCCUCAAAAGACUAUGGUUAAUGUUUGAUAAUGCUCUGGAGUAGCCAACACUACAUGUAA